UGCAUGAUACAAUUCGGGGAUGGUGGAAGUUUCCUUAUCCACAACUGCGGUCAAUAUCUGGAUGUUGAUAAACGAGAAUAGAAAUUGAAUUUCACGCGCUAGCUUCAAAACCGAUCAUAGCUUCACUAUAAUUUAAUCAGAAUGAUUUUCUUGCAGAUUAGAACUCACCUUUGUGAUACCAGCGAUGGGUAGCGGUUGACAAACUCCUAUAGCUUUCCACGCUGUUGCAGCGUAAUAGAGAUUCUCAGGCGUCAUUGAGCUUCCAUCUCCGACAGUAGCUAGCAAGAAUUUGCAGGCUUCCUAAACAACAUUGGCAUGAUCAAGAUUGGUCGGUAGAUUGACUCCAGCGACAUGGAAAUGAAAUUUUAGUUUUCUACUUACGGCAUUCUUUGGUAUGGCAUCACCAAGGAGCUUAUAGCUCACAGCGGCAUAAUGCAAGGCAGGUAGAUCAGAGAGCUGGAAACCAGGUUCUACUACUUUUUUCAAACGAGUUUUGUCAGCCACCGAUAAAUAAGAACUCGUCGAAGAAGAAAAUGGAGUUGCACCCAGAGCUACGCAUAGAAGCGCAGAGGCAAAUAGCGGCCAAAUUGCUGUUGAGAAUAAGCGGAGUCCACGUGUCUUGGAAAAAUUGGUCCUAACUAGAAGCGUGGAGAUGCGUUUGUACGAUUCGUCCGUUGUUCGUACUCGAAAAACCUCUUGAAAGAAGAAAAUCUAAUACGUAGGACCGACCGCGGUAAUUAUUAUUCGAAUGUUGAAAGUCGUUUGAUAGAAAACGACCGGCGUUUUUGGAAUACAAUGGAGGGUGCAAAAUGGUCCAAAUAACCCGAGGAAUGUCGAGUACCGAGGGUAUUUUGAUCCAGUUAAUUGCAGGUUUUCUUGAGUUGCACUUUGCCAAAUUUCUUU